AAUUAAGUUACAUGUUACGAGAAACUAGAAAGCAUGGCGCCAGUUUGAUUUUUUUAGUUCAUUCAGAUAUCUAUGAAAUUUAAUCCAGUUUUAGCUUCUUUUUAUUUUUCGGUUUGAAUAAUAAAGUUGUUCGAAACAGGUCAAACAUAAUCAGAUUCUUAAUUGAUUUAAAUUUUUGGUAAUUUUGAACAAUUUUUUUAGAUGAUUGAUAUAAAAAUUUAGAAAUAUAAAUCAAAUUUUAGAUAAUCAGAUGCUUAUUUAACUCAUUUUAAGUAUAAAAACAAACCGCAUCUAGAUAUUUAUAAAUAAUCAACUCGGUAUCUUUUGUUUUUGAUUCGGUACAAUUUAGUUUUGGAUUUCGGUUUAAAACGUCUACACGCGCGUAGUUACGAGUGCGCUUCGAAGGCUCUUCCAUUCUAACCCUAAUCUAAUCGUGGAAUUUCGGCGGAGUUGAUUUGUUUACUUUUGACGUAUGCAACAGAUAAGCACUUUGACAGUAGUUGCUAAUAAAAUUGAAAUCAUUUGUCAUGUUAGGGAAAAGACAAGACUUUGUGAUAUUUGAUUGUUCGUACUUCAUUUUUUUUCUAUAGAGACAAACAAAUUAUCUGGUUAUGAAAACUAUUGACGAGAAAAAGAAUUUACACACUACAAAACAUAUAGAUCAAAACACUAAAUUGGUUAAAAUAUAUUAAUAUUAUUAUAGAAAUAAAAGAGAAACAUCAUUUGAAUUACCCUUACAAUCAUGACUACGAAUCAUCAUCGUUUUUCCAAAAGUCUAAAUAAUAUGCAUAUAUUCCGGCGCAUAUUAAGAUUAACAAACAUGCAAAAACAGCUAUAACCGCCACUAGUCCCCAGGUCCCCAUCGUCUCUUUUGAGGUAUAGUAACUUCUCUUCUUGUAUGUAAUGGAACUGUUAUGAGAUGUGGAUUCAACCGAAAAGAAGAUGUUUAUAUAACUAAUUUAAAUUUGAAAUAUGGUAAUUUAUAGAUAGACUAGGAGAUUUUCCCUGCCACGAAUAUAGAAACUACUUAAUAGUUCUGAGCACGUAUAUAUUAUAUGAAUCAGCAUAUCUUAAGCAUGAGUUGUUAGAAUUAAAUGACUUUUAAUUGAGAAUCUUAUGAUAAAUCAUACUACUCCAUUAACGAGUUCUACUCCAUUUUUAAUAUUAGAGACUAUUUAAAUGUCAAGAACCAGUCAACAAAAGAUUUAACACAUCGAUGUAAAAAAAAGAUUUAACACAUCCUUAUUUUCAUAUCUUGUAAUUUAAUUGAUAGUAAUUUACUAAAACUAAAUAAACCACAAGGUGGUGGUCUUUUAGAUAGACUUUGGACAACAAAGUAAUCCAGAUUUAAAAGCUCUCCAAUAUAUUUUAUUAUUUUGUCACGUGGAUAUAAGAUAAUACUCUAAGAUCAUUUCCAAUAGUUUACUCAAUUUUUUCUUUUAAAUAAAGUAAAUAUAUAUACUAGAGUUGAUUUAUACUCUAAUAGUAUUAUAUUUAGAGUAAAAAAUAUAAUGAUGAAUAAAAAAUACUUUAUUUAUAGAAUAAAUUUAUUUUUCAGUCUAUUAUUAAAUGAAAAUUUGAGUACUAUUAUAACAUAUUUACUCUAAAUUCUGUUUAUACUCAAAGUAAGAUAUUAUCAGAGAUCAUUGGAGAUGUUCUAAACUUUAUUUGAAUACCCAAAAAGAUGGUUCAUCAAUGGACUACACCUACCCCUGAGAAUUAGUAUAGGUGUUUUCAACUUUUCAUAGGCUUGAAAUACUCCAGACUAAUAAAAAAUUAAUUAAAUAUCAUAUGGUUAUAGAAAUUAACACAAAUUUUUUUUUGAGAAGACGACAUGUCAAUAAAUGAAAAACCUAAGAAAACCAAUGAAAUCAUUUAAAUAUUACACGUCAGUUUACACAUCACACAUCAGUCAAAUACAGUAAAUCCCAAACGGUGAUGUCGUCGUCUUUGGGAUCUGCUUUUCUACAGUAAAUCCCAAACAGUUAAAAAGAACCCUAAGGUUUAGGUCGCAGUCAUCGAACAAUUUGUUUGCCCGUGGCUUUGUGAUCUGCUUUUCUAUCAUAUGAUUGUGCGCAAAUCAGCUCACUUGUGCUUUGACAAAAAUUGGUGUACCCUGACUCUACGAUAACAAGGCAAGUAGACAACUACGUUGUCACUCAUGAGAAAGCUUUUGUCUUGUCUCAAUGUCAAUCUCUAAACCUAAGCCGGGGGCGGGUUCUAGCCGCUGCUGAUUCAACUGAAACCUUAGAUGGUUAAAGACUGUUUUUUAAUGAAAUUUUUUUUUCCCUUGAUUCUUCUGAUGUGGAAGUGGUUGCAAUAAAGGAGUUUAGGUUUUAAAACUUGUAAGUGACUAUUUAUGUUUCUGAAUGUUCUGGUGUCUCUGUUUCUGGAGGAAAAUGUUUAUUCGGUUAACUAUUGUGUUCAUGUGUUCAUUCGUAAUGUUUGUUCUUCUCCGAUACUUUAUUGGUUUUAUUAGUAAAACCAGCUCACUUA